rnacentral:sRNA from 1 species
GUAUCUCCGUAACGGGGAAGGAUGAGAAGCUUCGACCAAGGUUCGAUUCGAGCGCAGCGAGAAAGCGUUGUCGAAGGCAACGACCCGAAGGGCGAGGCGCAUCGCGCCGAGUAAUCCUUCCCCCACCACCA